rnacentral:rRNA from 1 species
CCUACGGGAGGCAGCAGUGGGGAAUCUUGCGCAAUGGGCGAAAGCCUGACGCAGCCAUGCCGCGUGAAUGAUGAAGGUCUUAGGAUUGUAAAAUUCUUUUCACCGGGGACGAUAAUGACGGUACCCGGAGAAGAAGCCCCGGCUAACUUCGUGCCAGCAGCCGCGGUAAUACGAAGGGGGCUAGCGUUGCUCGGAAUUACUGGGCGUAAAGGGAGCGUAGGCGGAUAGUUUAGUCAGAGGUGAAAGCCCAGGGCUCAACCUUGGAAUUGCCUUUGAUACUGGCUAUCUUGAGUAUGGGAGAGGUUAGCGGAACUCCGAGUGUAGAGGUGAAAUUCGUAGAUAUUCGGAAGAACACCAGUGGCGAAGGCGGCUAACUGGCCCAUUACUGACGCUGAGGCUCGAAAGCGUGGGGAGCAAACAGGAUUAGAUACCCUGGUAGUCCACGCCGUAAACGAUGAGUGCUAGUUGUCGGCAUGCAUGCAUGUCGGUGACGCGAGCUACGACAUAAGACACUCCGCCGUCGGGAGGUACGGUCGGCGAGAAGUUAAACGUAACGUAAAGGUAAAGUUAGACGGUCGUUGAGACGUUGCCGACGGACGACGACGAGGGAGGUUAGG